CUAUACAUGCAGUCGAGCGGACAGAUGGGAGCUUGCUCCCUGAUGUUAGCGGCGGACGGGUGAGUAACACGUGGGUAACCUGCCUGUAAGACUGGGAUAACUCCGGGAAACCGGGGCUAAUACCGGAUGGUUGUUUGAACCGCAUGGUUCAAACAUAAAAGGUGGCUUCGGCUACCACUUACAGAUGGACCCGCGGCGCAUUAGCUAGUUGGUGAGGUAACGGCUCACCAAGGCAACGAUGCGUAGCCGACCUGAGAGGGUGAUCGGCCACACUGGGACUGAGACACGGCCCAGACUCCUACGGGAGGCAGCAGUAGGGAAUCUUCCGCAAUGGACGAAAGUCUGACGGAGCAACGCCGCGUGAGUGAUGAAGGUUUUCGGAUCGUAAAGCUCUGUUGUUAGGGAAGAACAAGUACCGUUCGAAUAGGGCGGUACCUUGACGGUACCUAACCAGAAAGCCACGGCUAACUACGUGCCAGCAGCCGCGGUAAUACGUAGGUGGCAAGCGUUGUCCGGAAUUAUUGGGCGUAAAGGGCUCGCAGGCGGUUUCUUAAGUCUGAUGUGAAAGCCCCCGGCUCAACCGGGGAGGGUCAUUGGAAACUGGGGAACUUGAGUGCAGAAGAGGAGAGUGGAAUUCCACGUGUAGCGGUGAAAUGCGUAGAGAUGUGGAGGAACACCAGUGGCGAAGGCGACUCUCUGGUCUGUAACUGACGCUGAGGAGCGAAAGCGUGGGGAGCGAACAGGAUUAGAUACCCUGGUAGUCCACGCCGUAAACGAUGAGUGC
rnacentral:rRNA from 1 species